rnacentral:rRNA from 1 species
UACGGGGGGGGCAAGCGUUGUUCGGAAUUACUGGGCGUAAAGGGCGCGUAGGCGGUCGGAUAAGUCAGCUGUGAAAACCACGGGCUUAACUCGUGGCCUGCAGUUGAAACUGUCUGGCUAGAGUGUGGGAGAGGGAAGUGGAAUUCCUGGUGUAGCGGUGAAAUGCGUAGAUAUCAGGAGGAACACCGGUGGCGAAGGCGGCUUCCUGGACCACAACUGACGCUGAGGCGCGAAAGCUAGGGUAGCAAACAGG